AUACGGAGGGAUCUAGCGUUAUUCGGAAUUACUGGGCGUAAAGCGAGCGUAGGCGGAUCUGUAAGUUGGAGGUGAAAUCCCAGAGCUUAACUCUGGAACUGCCUUCAAAACUACAUUUCUUGAGUUUGGUAGAGGAGAGUGGAAUUCCUAGUGUAGAGGUGAAAUUCGUAGAUAUUAGGAGGAACACCAGUGGCGAAGGCGACUCUCUGGGCCAAUACUGACGCUGAGGUUCGAAAGCAUGGGUAGCGAACAGGAUUAGAUACCCUAGUAGUCC
rnacentral:rRNA from 1 species